rnacentral:rRNA from 1 species
CCUACGGGGGGCUGCAGUGGGGAAUAUUGGACAAUGGGGGCAACCCUGAUCCAGCCAUGCCGCGUGUGUGAAGAAGGCCCUCGGGUUGUAAAGCACUUUCAGUGAGGAAGAACGCCUGGUGGUUAAUACCCAUCAGGAAAGACAUCACUCACAGAAGAAGCACCGGCUAACUCCGUGCCAGCAUCCGCGGUAAUACGGAGGGUGCGAGCGUUAAUCGGAAUUACUGGGCGUAAAGCGCGCGUAGGUGGCUUGAUAAGCCGGUUGUGAAAGCCCCGGGCUCAACCUGGGAACGGCAUCCGGAACUGUCAAGCUAGAGUGCAGGAGAGGAAGGUAGAAUUCCCGGUGUAGCGGUGAAAUGCGUAGAGAUCGGGAGGAAUACCAGUGGCGAAGGCGGCCUUCUGGACUGACACUGACACUGAGGUGCGAAAGCGUGGGUAGCAAACAGGAUUAGAUACCCUUGUAGUC